rnacentral:rRNA from 1 species
CCUACGGGCGGCAGCAGUGGGGAAUAUUGGACAAUGGGCGAAAGCCUGAUCCAGCCAUGCCGCGUGUGUGAAGAAGGCCUUCGGGUUGUAAAGCACUUUCAGUGGGGAAGAAAGCCUUGGGGCUAAUACCCUCGAGGAAGGACAUCACCCACAGAAGAAGCACCGACUAACUCCGUGCCAGCAGCCGCGGUAAUACGGAGGGUGCGAGCGUUAAUCGGAAUUACUGGGCGUAAAGCGCGCGUAGGCGGUCUGAUAAGCCGGUUGUGAAAGCCCCGGGCUCAACCUGGGAACGGCAUCCGGAACUGUCAGGCUAGAGUGCAGGAGAGGAAGGUAGAAUUCCCGGUGUAGCGGUGAAAUGCGUAGAGAUCGGGAGGAAUACCAGUGGCGAAGGCGGCCUUCUGGACUGACACUGACGCUGAGGUGCGAAAGCGUGGGUAGCAAACAGGAUUAGAUACCCCUGUAGUC